CUGGGGAGAACUGUGCCAGGCAGUGAGCCCGCACUUGGGCAGGGACAGCAGGAAUAUCUAGAGGGAGCUCUGGCCACCUUCCCCCACCUCCUGAAGUGAACUGGGUCUCUCAGAGCAUGACCCCACAGCCCACAGCCUCGGUCCUACUUCCUCCUAGUUUGCUGGAGUGGCCUGGCCCUCUGGGUCCAGGGGGAGCCCAACACCCCAGGGUGAGGUAUCAGGGACCCAUCUAGUAGCCCAGAGGAGGAAACCCCAGUAUCUUCCACACCCCACCCCUUAGCCCAGUCCAGGCUUCCAUCCCCUGCUCUCUCUGGCCAUGGGUACUCAGCCAGUGAGGUCUGGCAGACUUAGCCAUAGCUCUGGGGAGGGCACUGUCCCCAGGCAGCUUGGCCAGUAUUUGUUGACUGACUAAGUGAAUGCCCAGCUGGCUGAGCGCUCAUGGUGGGGUGUGUCUUGCCGGGCAGGAGCUGGGAUUGAGUUACAGUGGCUGGGGCCAGUAGUGGGGAGGCAGAGACUGGCACCGUGCCAGGCCCAGCACUGCCCACAGGCAGAGUGAAGGUGCAGGAGCAGUUUCCAGCAGGUUUCUGAAGGAGUGGUGCAGGGAAACCCAAGGUACUUGAGUGUGAAGUGCCAAGACGUAACAAAGUCGACAGAAGUGAGGGUCCCUUCCUUCCCCAGAGCCUGUGUUUAUACAGAGUUCAGCUCUGUUUCAAGA